rnacentral:rRNA from 1 species
GUGAGGAAUUUUCCGCAAUGGGCGAAAGCCUGACGGAGCAAUGCCGCGUGAAGGAUGAAGGCCUAUGGGUUGUAAACUUCUUUUCUCAGAAAAGAAUUAUGACGGUAUCUGAGGAAUAAGCAUCGGCUAACUCUGUGCCAGCAGCCGCGGUAAGACAGAGGAUGCAAGCGUUAUCCGGAAUGAUUGGGCGUAAAGCGUCUGUAGGUUGUUUAAAAAGUAUUCUGUCAAAGAUUAGGGCUUAACCCUAGAUAGGCAGAAUAAACUUUUAAGCUAGAGCUUGGUAGAGGCAGAGGGAAUUCCCGGUGGAGCGGUGAAAUGCGUAGAUAUCGGGAGGAACACCAAAGGCGAAGGCACUCUGCUGGGCCAAUACUAACACUGAGAGACGAAAGCGAGGGGAGCAAAUGGGAUUAGAUACCCCUGUAGUCC